AAUGUAUUGAUUAGUCGAUUGGUCUUUUGUGCAAAAUAACUUUAGACUGAAAAUUCUCUGAUCAAUAUGUAUAUCAUCUGGUCCUCAAAACACAUUUUCAUCCGAUAGAAAUUUGUCAUUCAAGAUUUUAUGUGAGCAUGGAAUAUUACUAGCGCUUAUUCAUCAAAGGAUUGAAUAUGAUAUGAUGCAGGCAGACUUCAGCUUUGACAAAUCCGAAGAUAUGCAGCUAAUGAGUUGAACCAAAAAAAAAAAAAAAAAAAAAGAAAAAAAAAAAAAAAAAAAACAGGAAAAAGUUAAAACUACUUUUUUUCUCUUCAGUGGCGUACUUGAACAAAUAUACGUAUCAUGCAACAAGAACCGACUAGAGAUAGAGGGCAAUUGAUAAUCUAAACUGGAUUUAUCACAAACUCUUAAAAAUUUAAUUUUCAGAAAAAAACCACGACCCAAACAAUGUCAAAAUAGUUACAAGAAGAAGUCAUGCAAGGAAGUAGCAAGAUGUUGCUGCUGAUACGUUUUCUAAAGAAAAACGUUAUUAUGGAAGUGCAAUCAAUUACAAAUGAUUAGGAUCCAAACGGUUUUAUACAGUUAAGGUACACCUUUCUAAAACUGUUCGUUUCAAUUGAAUGGAAUGUGUCAACGUUAUUGAUUGUUUUACCUUAAGAGAUGAUGAUGGACGACAGCUUUAGCUAUUGUACAGGUUAGAAAAAAAAAGUUUUCAAGCCAUAUCUUGUGUUAAGAGUAAUAAUUUCGUGAAGAAGUGGUUGUGCUUUUUGAAUACAUUUUUAUGUGUUAGAGUACAUAUCUAAAUAUUCAGACUGGAUUUAACUUUCAACACCGUUUGGAAUAUACGUAGAUAUAGUGAAUUAGUAUAAUCAAAAGCGAUAUUAAAUGAUGUGGUAAAGGAAUAUAGUUAUUGAUGAAAUUCAGAUUGGAUUAAAUUUUCAAGACAAUUUGAAAUUUACAUAUAGCGAUGGAAUGUUAUUAUUUGCGUGUUCGUUUCAUUCUAAUUGAUAUUUACUCAAACAGGAUUUAAUUGUUAUCGUUUGUAGUAAAGAGAAGAAAUAUUGUUGAGUAUGCGUUGGAAAAGAGAAUCAAUUUUUAAUAAUUUUGAAGAUAAACAGACGUAGUGAAGGAAUGAAAUAACUGCAGAUAUUCAAAUCGGAUCUGAAAAAUAUGUAAAUAUAGAAAUGGAAUAUAACGUGUGGAAAUGACGCAUAAAUAUACCGACUGGAAUACCAUCCAUCUAAGCUUGAAAAAUGGACCUGUUAUUUCUCAUUCGCAUUCGCCAAAAAGGCUAUUACACAUAUUGUAUCACAAUUGAAGUACAGCCAAGGCAAGGACAACACAAGUCGUCUCAAACAUGGCGGGAGGAAAGAUGCAAACAGUGUCAGUAAGUUAAGGUAUUGUAUUAAUAUGAACUAGAAUGGAACCGUGCAAAAGCUUGAAAGCUAUUGAAGAUUUUCUUUUUUUGCAAGAUGGAGAACAGCAAUAAAUAUGUACGAUGUCUUUCUCAUAUAACUAUUAGAAAAUUACAACAAUCUGUUUCAACUGGCAAUAAGUGUUGAAAAUAUCGCGAGGAAAUGGUUGUGGUUUCGGUACAACAUAUUAUAUGCUUAGCAGGAUUUCAAUAUACCUUGGAAUAUACAUAGACAUAUAGAAUGAAUAUGAUUAUUUGUUAGUUUUAUUAUAAUUAAUUUUGUGUAUUCAAAUUUGAUUUGAUCUUCAAUACAGUUUGGAAUAUAUAUAGACAGAGUGAAAAUAAUUAUUUAUGAUAUUCUGGUCGGAUUUAAUUAUCAACACAAUUCGGGAUUGUGUAAAGCUACAGUAAAGGAAAAUUAUUAUCGAUUGUAUCACAAUUGAAGUACAGCCAAGGCAAGGACAACACAAGUCGUCUCAAACAUGGCGGGAGGAAAGAUGCAAACAGUGUCAGUAAGUUAAGGUAUUGUAUUAAUAUGAACUAGAAUGGAACCGUGCAAAAGCUUGAAUGCUAUUGAAGAUUUUCUUUUUUGCAAGAUGGAGAACAUCAAUCAAUAUGUACGAUAUCUUUCUCAUAUAACUAUUAGAAAAUUACAACAAUCUGUUUCAACUGGCAAUAAGUGUUGAAAAUAUCGCGAGAAAAUGGUUGUGGUUUCGGUACAACAUAUUAUAUGCUUAGCAGGAUUUCAAUAUACCUUGGAAUAUACAUAGACUUAUAGAAUGAAUAUGAUUAUUUGUUAGUUUUAUUAUAAUUAAUUUUGUGUAUUCAAGUUUGAUUUGAUCUUCAAUACAGUUUGGAAUAUACAUAGACAGAGUGAAAAUAAUUAUUUAUAAUAUUCUGGUCGGAUUUAAUUAUCAACACAAUUCGGGAGUGUGUAAAGCUACAGUAAAGGAAAAUUAUUAUCGCGCCUAUCGUCUUGACAACGAUAAAAUAAUGCAACAAUCGCAAUUAUUUGCACAACCUUCUACAGCCAAAAAUGAAUAAAAUCACAAUUGAAGUACAGCCAAGGCAAGGACAACACAAGUCGUCUCAAACAUGGCGGAAGGAAAGAUGCAAACAGUGUCAGUAUUGUAUCAAUGUGAACUAGAAUGAAACCUUGCAAAAGCUUUAAAGCUAUUAAAGUGUUUCUUUUUUCCAAGAUGGGGAACAGCAAUCAAUAUGUACGAUAUCUUUCUCAGAUAGCUAUUAGAAACAUACAGCAAUCUGUUUCAAUAAGUGUUGAAAAUAUCGCGAGGAAAUAGUUGUGGUUUUGGUAUAACAUAUUAUAUGCUUAGCAGGAUUUCAAUAUACUUUGGAAUAUACAUAGACAUAUAGAAUGAAUAUGAUUAUUUGUUAGUUUUAUUAUAUUAAAUUUUGUGUAUUUUAAUUUGAUUUGAUUUUCAAUAUUGUUUGGAAUAUACAUAGACAGAGUGAAAAUAACUGUUUGUGAUAUUCAGGUCGGAUUUAAUUAUCAACACAAUUCGGGAUUGUGCAAAGCUACAGUAAAGGAAUAUUAUUAUCGUAGCUUUCACUUUCCACGUUUAACCUACAUGUAAUGAAGAUAUAAGGCGAGUCAUUAUAUGCUUCCAUACAUAUAACCACUGCCUUCUGUAUUCUGUUAGAUUGUAUCACAAUGGAAGUACAGCCAAUUAAGGACAACACAAGUCGUGUAAAAUAUGGCGGGGGAAAAGAUGCAAACAGUGGCAGUAAGUUAAGGUAUUGUAUAAAUGUGAACUAGAAUGGAGCCUUGGAAAGCUUUAAAGCUAUUAAAGUGUUUCGUUUUUUCCAAGAUGGACAACAGCAAUCAAUAUGUAGGAUAUCUUUCUCAAAAAGCUAUUACAAAAAAUUACAACAAUCUGUUUCGCCUGGCAAUAAGAGUUGAAAAUAUCGCGAGGAAAUAGUUGUGGUUUUGGUAUAACAUAUUAUUUGCUUAGCAGGAUUUCAAUAUACUUUGGAAUAUACAUAGACUUAUAGAAUGAAUAUGAUUAUUUGUUAGUUUUAUUAUAAUUGUUUUUGUGUAUUCAAACUGGAUUUGAUUUUCAAUACAGUUUGGAAUAUACAUAGACAGAGUGAAAACUAUUAGUGAUAUUCAGGUCGGAUUUAAUUUUCAACACAAUUCGGGAUUGUGCAAAGCUACAGUAAAGGAAUAUAAUUAUCGGUGAGUAAGUUUUGUGUUCUUAUUGUUGUUAUAUAUUCAGAUCUGAUAUAAUCCUCAGAAAUUCAUGAAUAUACAUUAAUAAAAUCAAUAAAUAUAAUUAUCAAUUACACUUAAUACUAAUCAUUAUAUAUGUUAAAGAAUACCGCAAACAUGCCAUUAACUGUCUAGUUAAUGGACAUUUAAGAUAAAUUAUUCAGCGGAAUAAAUACAUUUUGAAGACUAAGAAGAUCAUGAUGGAAUGACAGUAAUAGGACAGGUCUUUAUUGAGUGUAAAAUAAGAAAAAUAAAUUUUCUUCAGAGCGUUAGGAAAAAUCAUAUAUGAACGGUUUAAGAUACAUGUUUAUUCGGCUCUACUUUUAUCUAUGUAUUUUCAAUUUUUAUAUUGUUGUAUUUUUCACAUUUUUUUCUUACUUUCGGCACCUUUACUUUUUUUCUCAAAAGACUGACAAGUUGUAAAACUGUUGGUACUUUUCACAUUUUAUUGAAUUUUAAUGGCUAUUUAUUUCAUCAUGUAGGUGGACUAAGUCAUUUUUGUCAUUUUUAUCAGAUAUAUUAAAACUAUAUUUUGUGAUAUGCUGAAUAUAAUAUAUAUUAAGUGUUGUAAACUGAUUAAAAAGCCAGUUUGAUUCUAAGUUAGCAAAUAGACACAAUUGUCAUUAUUUAAUGUAACAAUCAAAUUUAGGAUAAUCUAUUCGGAAAGGAAAAACAUGGUAUUUUGCUUUUUCCAAAUUGAGUAAAAAACAUUAACCAAACUUAAAGAAAAAAAGAAGAAAAGAAAUGCACCAUAGAAAAUACUUAUAGCACUAACGACAAUUUGUUAAACGGCCAAAUCAUCUUCCAAGAUUUUCAGGCCUUUUGAUCCUAAGGUCAAGAAGGCGUAAUUCAGACCCGUCUAGCGUAACGUCAAACAUUGUGUUUAUCAGUAUGUAUUUCUUUCAAAUUUGAAUAAUGUGAGUAUUAUAGCAUGGUAUAACCUCCUUAUCUCUAUCAUUUUCAAAUUUAGCAGGUGGUAUGAAUGAACUAAAGUAUCAAACAUGAAAGAUCGGUGCCGUUUCCAAAUUUUUAAGCAAACAUUUAAAACCAGGGUCCCUCAAAACAUAAUCGCUCAGAGUCUGUUUUAAAACGGCACUAUAAAAAUCUAAAUAAAUGAAAUAAAGAAUAAAUAAAGAUAAAAUAAAAAAAUAAAAUAUAAAACAAUAAUAUGAAUAAAUGGGCAAGGGGUAAAGAUUACAAUGAGAUAUCGCGUUUUUGAUAUUUAAUUGCUAACUUCAUUUUUUAUUUGAAUCAUAUUUGAUGCCUCUUUGUUUGAUACAUAAUAUAAAACAACCAUACCUUUUUAACACAGAAAACAAAACAACACACAAUUAGGUCGGGCUACAAAUUAUCUCAAAAUCGGAAUAUACAUUCCCACAAUGGUAACUUUCAUCUUUUUUAAUGAACAUUUUAGACCAUUGUUAACAAAUAUGUGCAAUUCAGAUUUUAGAAUAAUUCCCGUAUAAAAUCUUCAAAUAGAACUGACCCCUAGAAAAUACUCUGUUGGCUAAUUCAUCCAGUCAAAAAUUACCCCCAGCCCUCAUUUCGGGCCUAAUGCCACACUGGUUGGAACGUUUGCCAAUCAUUUGAGCGGUCAUAGAUUUGGUGUCCGGGCACAGUCACUCUAUCUGUGGUGUAUAUUUUUCAAAAGAACAGUUGCAAGUUACUGGCGGGUGUAAAACUCAAAAGGAAACAUUAAUUAUUUCCGGCUUCCCUCACAAUUCAAAUGGUCAUAGGCUUGGUGUCCGGUACAGUCACUCCAUCCGUGACUAGUAUUUUUAAAUGGAACAGUUGCAAAUUACUAAGGGAAAAAGAGAUAAGUGCUUGUAAAAGAUAAACUGUUAAAGAAAACUGGAGUAAAAUUCCAAAAGAAAAAAUAAUUAUUCCAGGCUAAUUUUAACUUUUAAGUUGGUUGAAAUAUGCGCAGUGAAAUCGACAUGAAGCUAAUGUCAGACGUUAAAAGUGUACUGUAUGGACAUAAAAUAAAUAAAUAAUUGCACCUAUGCAUUUGAUAACCGAUAACUGUGUUUGGUUUACGCCGUUUCUCAACAACUUUCAAUCAUGUCACGUCGGUCUGCUUACACAAUCUGUCUUUAUAGGUCCUAACAGUAGGCCUGUCCGUAAGAAAUUUACAAUUAUUCCACUUCAAGGACCGCUGGGAAAAGACGUAACGUUUUAUAAUUAGUUAAGUUUAAUUGCACCGUGAAAAUAAACUGCUAGUCAAGGAGUUUUAAAAUCUCUAAAACAUUUCAGGAACAUUUUCAGAAAAUUUAAAGAAAUCUAUGGAGGAGAGAACGCGCAGUAAAAUGUUUAAUAAGAAAUAUCAUUUUUUCAUUACGCUUUUUUUGUAUGUAACGUACAUUCAUGUAUAUAUCUGUGACAAUAAAGAAUAGAAAGAAAUCGGAAAAUUGCUUACAAAGAUUACAAAAAUUAGAACAAGCUUGAAAUGGAAUUUAUUUUGUUGUAAACUCUUGUGAUUAACUUAUUUUUUCCUAAAGUACAAUCAGUUCUUUUUGAAUUUUUGAUGCACAAAAUCUGCACAUGAAAAUGUGGGUGGCGGGAAAUGUAAGACAAUACAGUAAAAACGAAGUCGGAAACCCCAGUAUUUUUACGCUCAUUUUACAGUAAAAAAUAAAUUACAUGAAAAAUUUAGUUUAAAGAAAAUUUAAAAUUUAUAAAUGACGGACGGACAAACGGACGGACGAAAAGAAGGACGUACGCACCAUUACAUAAUACGUCCGUUUUAUUUUCUAAAGCGGCGUAUUAAUAAAUGCGCCGCAGUUUGCCGAAGAUGGACGCAAUAUUGCAAUUUACCCAGAAUUCUUUCGAACAAA
rnacentral:lncRNA from 1 species